CGGGGUGGGGGGGCACAAUUCUACCCACUACGGAGGCUGUUUUCUUUUUUUUUUUGAAGUUUAUGUGUUGACUUUGAGAGAGACAAAGAGAGCGUGAGCAGGGGAGGCGCAGAGAGAGAAGGAGAGAGAGAGAGAAUCCCAAGCAGGCUCCAUGAGCUCCUGAUUAAUUGUUACCAAGUGUCAUCCGUAAAUUUCCCUUCCACUAAUAAUCCUCUCGGACGAUCUAACAACAUCCCCGGCGAGCUGGCGGUACCGAGGCUGAGUUUCUGAGACAAGGAGCGGGUGACACCGGUACCUCCAGUGACUGGCGACGGGCGGUGGACAGCAUUCAACGGAGCUGCCAUCUCUGAAAUACAAUUAUCAGUGUGAUCUGCUUAAGGAUUCAUCAUCAGCUCCUGCCUUCUGAAGACUUAAAAAAAUGCCAAGACACACAGAGAGAAAGAGGUGAUAAGAAGGCAUCAUUUUCCUCCAGCCUCAUAACUGUAAAUUGAAGAAAAUUAUUUUCUUUGCCUGCAGCUCAUUGGCAUAUAGGCAGCAUUAUAUUAUAAUUUCAUAAGCAUAAAUCCUUUGAAUAAAUUUCAGAGGAAUAACUGAAUUAGAAAUGCAAGUAAAGUAUCUAAAAAACUUAACUGUAGCAGGCAGGGGAGAGGAGGUGUGAGGGGCACAGGCAAGGAGGAGAGCCCCUUCUGGGUGCCUCCCGUGGGUCCCCAGAGGCCCGGGAAGAGCUUGGUCAGGGAGAGGCCGUUUCUCACCCCCUUCUGUGCCUGAUGGCGAAUAAAAGAAGUUCUCCUCCUCUCCCCUU